rnacentral:rRNA from 1 species
CUACCAAGUAUUAAAGGUCCCGCCUGCCCAGUGAUAAUACAUUAAACGGCCGCGGUAUCCUAACCGUGCGAAGGUAGCGUAAUCACUUGCCCUCCAAUUAAGGGCCCGUAUGAAUGGCUUAAUGAGGACCCACCUGUCUCUAUUGGCAAGAUAAUGAAACUGAUCUCCUAGUACAAAAGCUAGGAUACACCCAUAAGACGAGAAGACCCUGUGGAGCUUAUAAAUAACCACGCUACACCACACACCACUUACACUAGCGACACUUUUUAGUUGGGGCAACUACGGAGAAAACAAAACCUCCGCGAUAACAACUAACACUUAAACAAGGCUAACAAGCCUAACCCAAAAGGACCCAGCAAACUACAGCUGACCAUCGAACCAAGUUACCCCAGGGAUAACAGCGCUAUCCUCUUCUAGAGUCCCUAUCGAAAAGAGGGCUUACGACCUCGAUGUUGGAUCAGGAAUUCCCAGUGGCGCAGCCGCUACUAAAGGCCCGUUUGUUCAACGGUUAAUGUC